rnacentral:snRNA from 1 species
GGAUGUGAGGGCGAUCUGGCUGCAACAUCUGUCACCCAAUUGAUCGCCAGGGUUGAUUCAGCUGAUCUGGCUGGCUAGGCGGGUGUCCCCUUCCUCCCUCACCACUACAUGUGCACUUGGUCUGAAGAGGACGGCCUUCCCCGAAUAGAGAGGUUGAGAGUAUACGAGUAGCUGCGCUCCCCUGCUAGAACCUCCAAAGAAGCUCUCAAGAAACUGCAAUGUUUGCAUUAAUUCUACUUUUUUCUCACACUUUCCUUCACCUAAUAAAUAUAAGGGUUCAAUUGAAA